rnacentral:rRNA from 1 species
AUUGAACGCUGGCGGCAUGCUUUACACAUGCAAGUCGAACGGUAACAGGCCGCAAGGUGCUGACGAGUGGCGAACGGGUGAGUAAUGCAUCGGAACGUGCCCAGUCGUGGGGGAUAACGCAGCGAAAGCUGCGCUAAUACCGCAUACGAUCUAUGGAUGAAAGCGGGGGACCGUAAGGCCUCGCGCGAUUGGAGCGGCCGAUGUCAGAUUAGGUAGUUGGUGGGGUAAAGGCUCACCAAGCCAACGAUCUGUAGCUGGUCUGAGAGGACGACAAGCCACACAGGGACUGAGACACGGCCCAGACUCCUGCGGGGGGCAGCAGUGGGGAAUUUUGGACAAUGGGCGCAAGCCUGAUCCAGCAAUGCCGCGUGCAGGAAGAAGGCCUUCGGGUUGUAAACUGCUUUUGUACGGAACGAAACGGUCCUGGUUAAUACCCGGGGCUAAUGACGGUACCGUAAGAAUAAGCACCGGCUAACUACGUGCCAGCCGCCGCAGUAACAC